UGAAGCCGGAAUUGCUAGUAAUGGCAGGUCAGCAUACUGCCGUGAAUACGUUCCCGGGCCUUGUACACACCGCCCGUCACACCAUGAGAGUUGGGAAUACCCGAAGCCUGUGAGCUAACUUUUAGAGGCAGCAGUCGAAGGUAGAAUCAAUGAUUGGGGUGAAGUCGUAACAAGGUAGC
rnacentral:rRNA from 1 species